AUUUAAUAUCGCGUGUGAUUAAAUUAUGAGGUGUGGGGGAGGGGAGCGCUGCACUCCCGGCCAACCGGGCGGAUGCCGCCAGCCGGCGGGUCUGGGCUGAGCGCACGGAGCCGGCUAGCUCGCUGUGCACUGCGCCUGGCGAGGCUUGAGCCGCGGUCCGCGCCUUCCCGAGGAUUCCAGGCCGAGGGGCUGUCACCGCGCUCUCCUCCGACGGACGCUAAUCAAGCGGAGGUGGAGAAAAAACCCAGCCAGGGGAUGUGCACCCGGGACCCCGCGCUUUUCGAUUUGCAGAAGAGCGCAGCGACAGCGCCCUCGACUCCAGGCGCCAACUCCGAGCUCGCGAGAUCACCAAGGCCCGGAUCCGCCUGCAAGCCAGUUUUAUUUGCCUCCAUCCGUCCCUUCUCCACGUAGUAUUCUUCCCCCGCCUCCCCCAGGUGUGCAGCCAAACCAACAAAUUCCUCCGCCCUCUGUUCCCCUCCCGCCUUCUCUCCUGCGCCAUGGGGUUAUAUCCUCCACGGACAUCCCUGCAAACUUGGAGAUUCAAUUAAAUAAUUCCAGUUACACGGUGC
rnacentral:lncRNA from 1 species